AGCCUGUAAAGUGGCAAUGUCUCGGG
rnacentral:piRNA from 1 species